UACGGAGGGGGCUAGCGUUGUUCGGAAUUACUGGGCGUAAGCGCGCGUAGGCGGACCUGCAAGUCGGGGGUGAAAGCCCGAGGCUCAACCUCGGAACUGCCUUCGAUACUGCGGGUCUCGAGUCCGGGAGAGGUGAGUGGAAUUCUCGGUGUAGCAGUGAAAUGCGUAGAUAUCGAGAGGAACACCAGUGGCGAAGGCGAGUCCCUGGACAACUUCUGACGCUGAGGCACGAAAGCUAGGGGAGCAAACAGG
rnacentral:rRNA from 1 species